rnacentral:tRNA from 1 species
GUCCCAGUAGCGCAAUGGAUAGCGCAUUACACUUCUAAUCCAAAAGUCGUGGGUCCGAAUCCCACCUGGGAUG